ACUAUGAGAAAACCCAAACUCCUGUGGCAGUGAUGGGACCUGCGCUUAAAUGAUCUCUUUAAGAACAGACGUGCAGUUGGACCUUCUCAAAAACUACAGUCUGUGGACAUUCACUUCAGAACCCGAUCCUGCAGGCUGCCUGUAAGGCAGAAGACCCCGUUCUACAGAAGGGGCUGCCCUGCAGACGAGGAGCUGCACGUUCAGCCUCACUCUCUGUGCUCCCACCUUUUGCAGUCUGGCCGUUUUGCCGCACCACAGAACGUUGUGAUAACGAGCACUGGGCUCCUCAAUGCCCGGACCUGGAGGAAGCCCACAGCCCAAGCGGCUCAGGUUGGAAGAAACCUUAAGAUCACGCAGUUCCAACGCUCUGCUGGUGCAGCGCUGCCGGCAGUGAGAACAGGCUGCCAGGGAAGGCAAUGCAGAGGGCCGUGCUGUGAGCACCAGGAAACGUCUCCGUUUUGAGGAUCAUUUCUCAUUCCAGCCUAAAGAGCGAGGAAUCAGCGAAGCACCAGAUUUGCAGCCUUGUUUGUUCCAGUUCUCAGAUCUUCUUGAAGCUCUUCAUUUAUCGUGACAACACAUGAAGUACCAGGUGUUCUCCCACUACUGAUGAAGGACAGCACCCAGACAGCCACUGCUGGCAGAGGUCGUGGCGUUCUCUUCCAUCACCCCAGGAGACAUUUCUGACAGCUUUU